GACGAACGCUGGCGGCAUGCCUAAUACAUGCAAGUCGAGCGAACAGAUGAAGUGCUUGCACUUCUGACGUUAGCGGCGAACGGGUGAGUAACACGUAAGGAAUCUACCUAUAAGCGGGGGAUAACAUUCGAAAACGGGUGCUAAUACCGCAUAAUAUCUUCUUCCGCAUGGAAGAAGAUUGAAAGACGGCUCUGCUGUCACUUAUAGAUGACCUUGCGGUGCAUUAGUUAGUUGGUGGGGUAAUGGCCUACCAAGACGAUGAUGCAUAGCCGACCUGAGAGGUUGAGCGGCCACAUUGGGACUGAGACACAGCCCAAACUCCUCCGGGAGGCAGCAGUAGGGAAUCUUCCGCAAUGGGCGAAAGCCUGACGGAGCAAUGCCGCGUGAGUGAAGAAGGCCUUCGGGUCGUAAAACUCUGUUAUAAGAGAAGAACAAAUUGUAGAGUAACUGCUACAGUCUUGACGGUAUCUUAUCAGAAAGCCACGGCUAACUACGUGCCAGCCGCCGCCGUAA
rnacentral:rRNA from 1 species